UGACAGAGUAUAUUGUUUACCAGAUUGAGGGGAUGCUGGCCCCAGGCUGAAGUCACAUUUACUUCUGACCUCUGGGUUUGGGCUAUAAGGAGAAAGGCUUCUCUGUGGUCUGGACAUAAUUGCCAUCCCAAUUACACCAAGCCGAAAGGUGGACCUGAAAUCCAGCCCACACUCUGCUCACCACCCUGUGGGCCUUGUCCCAGGACUCAUCCCUUCUCUUCUGGAGCCAUUUCCAAUUCUGCCCAAAAGGACAGCCUGAAGUGCUGGACCCUGGGUACCUGGCUGAAGACUUUGGACUUUAACCUGGAGAUGAUGGAGAGUAUGCAGGAUAAAGUCCAUACCAAAUCCAACGCCUAGCAAAUGGAGAACAAGCCAAAACUAACAAGAUAAAAUGUAGCAGGAAAAAGUGCAAAGAGCUGAAGUGUGGAAUAAGUGGGAGAGGUCUGCCAUGCCCUAUCUGACCUUGCUGCCAUGAUCUUUAAGGCUGUGUGUCCUGGUUGGUGCAGCUACAAGAUGGCAGAAAUGCCUAAGUGAUGGUAUGGAACAGAGGAUCCCUCUUCUCACCAUUGUCUUGCAUGUUUCCUUGUGUGAACCACAAAUAAACUUUUGUUAUGUUAAGCUGCUGAGA
rnacentral:lncRNA from 10 species